rnacentral:lncRNA from 1 species
CGCCCUUGAUGUUUGCUUUUCCCUUGACUUGCUAGGAAGCAAUUUUGCAUUUGUUUUUCCCUUGACUUGCUAAGCAGCAAUUUUGAAUUUGUAAAUUGUGGACUAUGGGUAUACACCCUACUCCCCCCUCUGGUGACAUGUGCAAUGCUCUGCAUGAACAUGUUAAGUGUGUGUGUUUGGUGCUCAUGCUUGUGAUGAUUGUGAGAGAGUUA